CGUUCGAGGGAGACGCGUCUGUCUUCCGUAGUACGUACGCGUCGUCUCGGUACGCACGUUGUCGCCGUUGUCAGCGUAACACACACUCACACACUCACACACACACACACAUACACACACAUACACACGUACAAAUUACGAACCGCUCUCGCUCUGUCGUAAAUAAUAUACGCAGCAUACAAGGAUCGUCGGUUGGAGGCGACGUUCGAUCGUACGAUUUACGGAUACAGGAGAGAACAGAAAGAAAAAGAGAGAGAAAGAGAGAGAGAGAGAGAGAGAGAGAGAGAGGGAGAAAGCACGAGAGAAAGGGGUGUUAUAUAUUGGCAACUCUCGAACUGUGGGACUGGCGCUUACCUUCGUGUCUUUUCUCCGUCGUCCUCGUUCUCGUCGUCGUCGUCGUCGUUGUCGUUGUCGUUCAUCGUUCCCAUCGUUUCUUCACCACUCCACGGCGACGGAAGAACACGCGAGAAAAAAGUACGCUUCGCGGUGGCUGUGCGCGGUCGUGUUGCAUCAUUCUCGACGGUCGAUACACGAUCGAUGCGAGCGGUCGAAGCGGCGCGCGAUCAAGAAUCGAAGCGGUGCACUCUGGCGGCAGGUGGUGGAAACACGGCGAAAUAGCGGCAAACGGUGCCUCGCCUAGCCAGCGAGCCGUUUUUCGAGUACGCCGCGUUUUCGGAGUCGUCCAUAAGAGGGAAAAAAACAACGUGAAAA